GACGAACCGUGCGAACGUUGUUCGGAAUCACUGGGCUUAAAGGGCGCGUAGGCGGCCGGGUUGGUCGUGGGUGAAAUCCCCCAGCUUAACUGGGGAAUUGCCUACGAUACUGCCUGGCUCGAGGGAGGAAGGGGCGGCCGGAACUGUCGGUGGAGCGGUGAAAUGCGUUGAGAUCGACAGGAACGCCGGUGGCGAAAGCGGGCCGCUGGCCCUCUUCUGACGCUGAUGCGCGAAAGCUAGGGGAGCGAACAGG
rnacentral:rRNA from 1 species